UAGGGUCACCGAGGUGAUGUGAUAG
rnacentral:piRNA from 1 species